UUUCUAAAGAGUGAAGGCGUAAAUGAGAGAAUGAAAGGCGUAAAUGAGAGAAUGAAAGAAUGGGGAACUGCUACAAAAUUCGGGGAAGGGAGGGCGUGGAUGCCACAAUUCCUCUUUUCAUAUUGUGAGUCUCAGAGCAGAUGCAUAUGCAUUCAAUAUCGAUGCGCAACCACACUUCGUAUUUCAGGAUUAUGGAAGGAACUGCUACAAAACUAGGUUUACGAGCAGUAAGAACAUCGAGGUUUUAGAGAGAAACCACCAGUUUAAGAACAAAAUUCUUGCAAACAAGGUUCGUUCUACUCCUCAUUAAGGUUCCUGUUUGUUCUUCUUCUUUGUAAAUUUUCAAUGGGGUUUUUCUCUAUAAUUUGUAGGUUUCAAAGCUUGAGGUUCUAGAGAGAGAAACAUGACUUUUUUUAUUUUUUUGCGUUUUUCUCUAUAAAAUCAGCAGAAAGACUGUAGUUCAAUGGGGGCUUUCUCUGUAAUUUGCGGGUUUCAAAGAUUGUGGUUCUAGAGAGAAACAUAGCUCUUUUUUAAUUUCUUGGGUUUCUCUCUGUAAAGUCAGUAAGAAAAUGAAUGUCUUUUUGGUCUCGUUUUAUUCGUUUUUUAAAAAAUCGCGUUUUCUACGGUAUUAUGAAAAAUAUGCUUGAUGAUUUUUCAAAAAAACUCUAUUUUAAAUGUCUUUCAAAAAAGUUCCGCUUUUUUAAAAAUUUCGACAAUUAAUUGCCGAUUUACUAACUAUGGUAUAGAGCCUAGGCUCUAAACAAUCAAAUUAAAGCCUACCUUCAAAUAGGAUAGAGAGAUGUGGUUUCACUAUGGGAAAUAUUUGUGAUAGCCUUAAAAUAUGUGUUCAUAUUUAUUUAUAAAGUUUAAAGCUUAAAAAAUAGUGAAGAUUCACCGAUCUACGGAAUUUUGAAAAUUGAUUGCCAAAAAAUACGUAACAAAAUACACUAUUUUCAAAACUUGAAAUCCAAUUUUCCUCAUGUCCGCAUCUUGAUGUCGAGAUCAUCAAUUUGAAGAUAUUUAGGCAUCAAAACAACAUCUUCUAAUGGAAUUUUUGAGGUAGGCUCAAAUUUGAUUGUUUAGAGCCUCGGCUCUAUAUAAACUUUUCCCUAUUUUUAUUUGGUUUUUUUUUCUUUUUUAGUGAAAGAUAAAAGAGAUGGCCUUAAAGGCGUGCUCCUCUUUCUUUUCCUUUUUCUUUUUUUAAUAGCAAAAUGGAUUUUUCUUUUCUAAAAAAAAAAAAAGCCAAAUUAUGUCGAUUUAAAACCUGAUAAUUAAAAAUCGCCUUAGAGAGGCUAGUUGAUUAGGUCAUUGUUCGCAAAAUCGCUCGAUCGCAUCGCUAACCGCCUGGUUAGAUCGGAACCGGCCAAUUGCCAGUUCCGAUCUUGGGCGGUUAGGGUGAUCAACCGGUAUAUUAAAAAAAAAAUUCCAAAAAAUGUAUAUAAAUUCUCAAAAAUAAGGAAUUUGAUUUGUAAUGUAUUUUUGUAUUUUUAAAUAUUCUUUACAUUAUGGUAAAGAUUAAAAAUUGUUUUGGUCAUUAAUACUCACUUUUAUAUUUUCCCAUCUUUUUUAGAAAAUUUAAAAAGUAGUCAUUAGAAAAUAUAAAAUGGGUUAAAAUCCAUUUUUUUCAUGAAUUUUCAACUUCAUUUGAAUGUGUUUUGUUUUAAUCAUUACUUAUAUGCUCUUCAUAUUUUAGUAGAUUUUUAUUUUUAUUUUUUUCCAAUACUUUUUUGACCGCCCGAGACUUGCUCGGUUAGAAUGGUUGAAUCGGCCGGUUUACCAGUUAGGUUGGUUAAACCGCCGCAACGCCCAUGUCCGAUUAACAAUUCCGGUUCGAUUUUGCGAACACUAGAUUAGGUUGAUGAUGAUAAGCUUUACUUCAAUGGAUUGUUGAAAAAACUCGAGGGAAGAGAUGAAUCCACUCCUAGGAUUAAGGGCAGUGUCUUUAGGCUAUCGAUCGGAAAGAUCAAGUUUUUACCAGAACUGUGAGAACCUUGUAAAUUUCUGUGUACCUCUCCAUGGCCAUGAAAUCUUUCUUAAAGAGAGAUGGAGGAGGUUGUUCUCCAACGUUCGGCUUCUUCCUGAAAUCUUUGAGAAAACGUGGCCCUGUAAUCCUGGGAAAUGGGUACUUACUUUCUAGCCAUUAAAUAAUGGCACUUUCUCUCUCUAAGAAGCCUCACUUUUUUAGUGAUAAGCAUUAAAUUAUAAGAGAGAGAACUAUUGCACGUUUAAAGGCCCCAUGGCCACACCCACGUACCAACAUCUCUCACUUGGCCAUGAUGGCCAGAUAUAUUGAAAUAUCAUAGUCUUCACCACUUAAUGAAUUUAACAUUUAUAUGCAUAUUUUUGUCAUGAGGCUUUCACGCAAAUGUGGUUAUACAACUCAUAACCAAAAAUAUCCAAAGUCAUGUCAUGGUUUUUCACGCUAAUGCGGUUUUUCCUUUCAUGACCAAGACAUCAAAAAAUAUCUCAUUUGAGAGUUCCUGACUUAAAUAUUUUUAAGUCCCAUCAAAACUACAUACUUUGAUAAUAUUUUUGCACUCAAUCCCUUUGUUAAAGGGUCAGCAAUCAUAUCUAAAGAUGGCACAUAACUUACAGUUAUUUCAUUCUUUCCAAUAAUAUCAUAAAUAUAAUGAUAAUCGAUUUCAAUGUGCUUACCCAUGGAACUAUAAGCUCCAUUUCUAAUUGAUGAAAUAACAGCCUGAUUAUCACAAAAAUUUUAACAGGUCCAUCGGCUAUAUCCAGCUUCAAAUCAUUUAUGAAGCGUUUAAUCCAGACGGCAUAAAUUGUAGCAAUGCUACAAGCAAUAUACUCGGUUUCCAUAACAUACCGAGCUACAUAACAUUAUUUCUUACUAGACCAAAAAACACGUCCACCACCAAAAAAGAACACAAUUCUUGAGGUUGAUUUUCUAUCAUCUGGGUCUCCUACAAAAUCUGCAUCAGAGUACCCAGUAACUUCUAAGUUGUCAGCUUGGAAGCACAACUUGUAAUUUUUAGUUUCUGAAUAUAUCUGAGUAUCAUUUUUACAGUUUGCCAAUGAGGCAUCCCAGGAUUACUCUGAAAUCUACUUUCAAGACCAUAUGCAUGACUCAAGUCAGGUCUUAUACACAACAUGGCAUAAUUUAUGCAUCCUACAGCUUGAGCAUUUAGAAUUCUUUCCAUUUCAGCUUUGUCACUAUCAUUUAAUGGACAUAUUUUCUUUGAUAAUUUUAAGCCUUUACAAAAUGGUGUAUCUAUAAGUUUACAAUUUUCCAUCUUAAAUCUCUUUAAAAUACUUUCUAAAUAAUUUUUUUGAGAUAAACAUAGAAGUCUUGAACUUUUAUCUCUUGUUAUCAUAAUGCCCAAUACAUAUGAGGCUUCUCCCAUAUCUUUCAUCUCAAAAUGGGAACUUAUUCAUGAUUUGGUAUGAUUAAUCAUGCCAAUAUCAUUACCGACUCUCAAAAUAUCAUCCACAUAUAGUGACAAUAUAACAAAAUUGCUCCCAUUAUUUCAGAUAUAUACACAAUGGUCUAACUUAUUGGCUAUAUAAUCAAUUUCAGUGAUUGCAUUAUGAAAAGUAAAUUAUCAUUGCCUAGAAGACUGUUUUAGACCAUAUAAAGAUUUCUUAAGUUUAUAUACUUUGUCUUCUUGGCCUUUAAUUACAUAUCCUUCUGGUUGUUUCAUGUAUAUAUCUUCUUUUAAUUUUCCAUUUAAGAAAGUUAUUUUGACAUCUAUCUGAAAUAAUUUUAUAUCAUAAUAUGCAACUAAUGCAAGGGUGAUCCUAAUAGAUGAAAAUUUCCUAUUGGAGAAUAGGUUUCUAUAUAAUCUAUGCCCUCCCUUUGGGUAAAUCCUUUAGCUACCAACCUAGCUUUAUAUUUAUCAAUGGAUCCAUUUUCAUUAAGCUUUUUCUUUAGAACCCACUUGCAACCGAUGGCUUUUCUAUCUUUAGGGAGCUCAACCAACUCCUACACUUGAUUUCUUUUAAUAGAAUCAAGUUCAUCAUCCAUGGCUUGAGUCCACUCAACUGAGUCAUGUGAGCUAAUAGCUUCACUAUAGCUACGAGGUUCAUCUAUUGUAUCCUCACUCAUUGAAAAGUAAUUAUCUUCAUUCAUAAAUACAUAAAAUUCUUCUAAAGUCGUAGGUGGGGCUUUAAUUCUUUUAAGUCUAUCUGGUAUACUUGAUUCAAUUAAAUCAUUCUCACCAAAUGUAGAGGGAGUCUGAGAAACAGGGUCUUCUAGACCCUUAUUUUUAUCACUUUCAUGUAAGUCAAUAGGCUUAUUUAAAAUAUUUUCAUCAUCUAUAUUUUCUAAGAAAUGAACAUCACGACUCUUUACUAAUGAUCUACUAUUAUGGUUAUAGAAUCUAUAUCCUUUAGAAUUUUCUGAAUAGCCUAUAAAAGAGCAUUUUAUAGUUUUAUUUUGUAAUUUAUCUCUAUUUUGUAGUGGUAUAAGUACAUGUACUCAAGAACCCCAAACUUUCAAGAUAGUAAGGUCAGGUUUAUUUCCUGUCCAUAAUUCAUAUGGGGUCAAGUCUAUAGAUUUAGUUGGAACAUGAUUAAUGAUAUAUAUUACAGUGUUGAGAGCCUCACCCCAAAAAUGAGGUGAUAAAUUUGAAUGGCUCAUCUUGGACCAAACCAUGUCCAUUAGAGUUCUAUUUCUCCUCUCAACUACACCAUUUGUUGUAGUGUAUAUGGCAUAGUUGUUUGGUGAAUUAUACCAUGCUCCUUACAAAAUUCAGAAAAUAAGGCGACGCAAUAUUCACCUCCCCUAUCUAUUCGAAGAAUUUUAAUAUGUCAACCUAACUGAUUUUCUACCUUAGCUUUAUAUUCUUUAAAUGUUUCUAAUGCAUCUGAUUUCUUACUAAUUAGGUAUACAAAUCCAUAACGUGAAUAAUCGUCUAUAAAUAUUAUGAAAUAUUCCAUACUUCUAUGUGUUUUCACAUUUAAUGGGCCACAUAUAUCAGAAUGAACAAUACUAAGUAGUUCACUAGACCUUUUCUGUUUAUGAAAAAGCUUCUUAGUUAAUUUACCAGAAAUACAUGGCUCACAUGUUUUGAACACAAUUUUUCCUAAAUUGGGGAGCAAGCCUCUUUUAACCAUUUGAUUCAUUUUGUCUUUAUUUAUAUGUCCUAAUCUUAAGUGUCAUAAAUACGGAUCAUCCAUACACAUAAAAGCAUCAAAAGAAGCAUCAACAUAACUAGAAAAUGAUGAACUUUCAUUAAUGUUCAGUCGGUACAAAUUGUCAACUUUAGUACCGUACACCAAAGUUCUAGAAUGCUUCCUAUUGGUAACCCGCCCAAACCUGAACCUUAUUUCAUAACCCUUGUCGUCUAGCCUUGGGACAAAAAUCAAAUUACGCCUCAUAUUGGGCGCAUAUAAUGUAUCAGUCAAUAAGAGAUUUGUUCCUCGUAGUAAACAUAGCUUGAAAGUACCAACACGUAGUACAUCGCAGAUGGUGUCUUCCCAUAUAAAUCUGCUGGUUACCAACUGCAAUCUCUUUCAAUUAUGUGAAUCCAUCCUUGGUCCUCGAGACAUAUCGAGUGGAGGUUGAGUCGACCUACCAAUUUCUCAGGUCAUGAUCGGUAACUAUUGAUUCUAGGACUACGCAGAUCAAGUCCUUUCUCUUAUUUUGAUUAUUUCGAAUAGGGUUGUUAUUUUGGUUUUUAUUUUUAUUUUUUUAGCUUAAAUCAAUUAAACUUAAUGUGCCCAAUUUUCUUACAAUAAAAACAGGUCUUCUCAACUUUAUUCUUUUGAUUUUUAAAAUUUCUCCUCAUUCCCUUAUACCUAGUAUUUUUCUGAUAAUUGAAAGGUUCUUGAGUAGAGCUCAUUUGAACUCUUCCUCAUUCUUCUCUCAGCUUCAAUACUAAGAUGCAUAGGAAGAUUUAACAUGGUUAUCCCUUGUGCAGAAUGGUCCAAUGCGAUUACAACAGACUCUCAAGAUGGAGGGAGACUUUUAAAGACAAUGGACACUUGCAUGCGAUCGGGGACUGGAUUCCCAGCUGAAGCAAAGUCCUUUACGCGCACUGUCAUUUUAUUGACAUGCUCGAUCACUGAGUUAUUUUCUUUCAUUCUACAGGAAUUGUAUUUUUCUAAUAACAAUUGUACAUGGGUCUCAGAAGUGGUCUCAUACUUUUCAGUUAAGGGGCCUAAUCCUCAAAGACUCUAAUUAAAUCAUCUUCCAUAAAGCUCAACAUAGUAGUCCUAGCUACUUUGUCAUCUUCUAACAAUUUUUCAAGACUCCUUCUGGCUUGACUAUUGGCA
rnacentral:lncRNA from 1 species